rnacentral:lncRNA from 1 species
CAGACAUGUCACAUGAAUGCAGGUAGCUAGGUACCUGCGCGGGCUGUUGGUUUUGUAAACGCAGAGCAGAGCAGUCACGAUGUGUAGAAAUCAUGCACCUCAGUGAUUCUUUAACAAGAUAAUGAGUAAAAAGACUUCAGGUAUGUUUGAAAUGUCUGCCUUUUCCUGCAUUCUCAUCACUGACAAAUAUCUGUGUAGACAUUUUACUCAAAUGUAGACGUGCUCUUUGCACACUUGCUAGUACCUGCCUGGUGCAUUUCAACUGUGUUUUCUUCCAACAGUUGUACCUCUUAGAAGCUGCUGUUUUCCAUUUGGAUCUAAACACUGGACCUGCACCUGCGACCAGCUGUAUAUUCCAAACCACUCCUCGGCUUUAUAAAUCUGACACUGCUCAUAAUACAUUAUUCAGAAAAGGCAUCUCUAGUGUGGCUGGCCGGCUACGCUUUCACACAUCAGCUAACACAGGCUAUUUCUAGAAGCACUGAAAAAAACAAGUAGCAACAGAAGACAGACUUACAAGGGCACUAAGUCUCUGGUCACUCAAGGACCAAUCAAAGGAAUGCGCUGUUAGGCCAGAAAGGAGUCUCUGAAGCAAAUGAUUGGAAGGAAAAAAAAAAAAUCUAAGGAAAUACAAGCCGAAAAGUUUCCAUUUACAAUAACCAAGGGAAAGAGGGACCCGACAUGAUAUAAAAUCCCAAAUAAGAGCUUUCCGCUGAGGCAGGUUUCUGAGCAUGGAAACAACACCGGUAGGGACUGGACCGGACCACAGUCUGCCCAGGCCCCGCCUCGGCCCUUCUCGCCGACUCCAGCAUGGGAAAUACUCUCAUCGUCCCGGAGCAAAGAUGAAAUCAAGAGCCUGCCGUUCGGCCGCUGCGACGUUUGGAUGCCACAAAUCCACCAUGAAAACCACCCGUGGGCCAUCCUCUGCUGAACCUGGGGGGGAAGGAGGGGUGAGAGGACAGGUUCAAACCACCCUGGAGUCAGGACCCAGGAUCCAGGCAGGGCUGGACCCUACGUGCUCAGCUUCGGGGCAGGGACCCCAUCCUGUCCCUCGGCUCGGAUCGGACCACCUCCUCUCUCACUGAGAGCAUAAACCUGGCUUCAUGGGCUUCUGAGCAGGGUGGACAAAAGGAAAUGGGGAGAUGGAGGGAUCUUUAAGUGGGAAUUUUUACGGCAGUGAAACUAUUCUGUAUGAUACUGUCAUGGUAGGUCCGUGUCAUUAUCCAUUUGGCG